GUUGUAUUGAACGCGGCAGUAUCCUAGUCCCCAGUGGGAAGAUUUUUAUAACCAUAAUGCAACACACUUUGUAGACUUGACAAAAGUGAUCCGCUCGAACGCGCCCAAUGAUUUAGGCUAGAUAAAUUAAUGAACAAUUGAUGAUAUUUUUUUAUUUUUACCCCUUGCACGGUCAACAGGUUUGUCAAUAUUGUGAGAAAGCAUUUCUGUCACUGUGUGAGCAGCGUUGACUCUCUUACUGAACCUUGUGCGCUACGUAGUUUGAUAUAGCCUGCCUAUGGUCGUAUAAAAUAAAGAAGUGUUGGAGCGCCACCUGGAGAAAUACUGCUUCGUCUUGCUUUUGGGUUGUCACUCGUUACCACAGCCACGAAAUCAAAAGUGUAUAUCGCAAAAAUGAAUUUUUACAAAUAAUGGUUUCUGGUCUUAAUUUAAGGUUAGGCAUAAGGUUAGCAGUGUGGUUAGGGUUUGGUUUAAAGUCUUAUUUUAAGAUCAAAUGUAGAAGUUGGCGGGGGUUAGCCAAUUACUCCUUUGUAGUUGUGGUAACUAGUGACGACUAUCAACAUGUGUGGAAAUAACAACACGGCGAGCCGGGAGCUCACCUACGAUGGUUGUAAUAUUUUCAGACAAACACCAGUGUUAUCAACGCUAAAUUGCAAAAACAAAACCUACGAUCUGAGUGGUAUAACCCAGGACUCCGAGAUUUUGUAGCCAGCUUCACCAGGCUUCUGGACAAGGUAACCUAAGGGACCAAAAUUGAAAUCAAGUCAUGAGAGGAUGAAUGCAGUGUUCCCAACUCCUCAGUAAGGAAAGUAGCUAUUGGCUGUCCUAAAUGACGUCAUCGCCGAAUUUGCAUAAUUGGCCAUGUGCAUGUAAUUGUGAUUGGACGCUGUAGUAUGGAUGCUGUAGGAAUAACGUCGUGGAGAGACAAAAGGACCCUAUCAUGCGGAAUAGGUGGUUGGAGUUCGUUGGUCCCCAGUGCAGUGGUGGUGAGUAUACCAGUAGCUAAACCAUAGACAUCUGGUUAUGUAUGUUUGAAAAGUUUCAUUCAAAAAUAACUGGCUUGAUGAACUAGUAGGCUAAUUCCCCAGCCAAUCCGAUAUAGCUAGUAGAGUCGUUUUGGUUGUGAAGUGCACUAUAGCAAAAAGCUUUGUCCUUUCUCUAGAAAAAAAAAUGCAAUUUACCACUUGGCUCUCUAUUAUAUCACCCUGUCACAGGCCCUCCCAGUCAACACCACCUCAUCAGAUUGCCUGUUGCAGUUGUUGGAGAGAUGUACAGAUGGCAGCAGAACAUGCAGCAUAGUGAAGACUUGACUUCACUGUGAGCAUAACUAUGAAUGGAUCAGUCAGCCACAUGUUUGCAAGUAUCCGGUUAGACAAACCUGUCAUCGACAACAGCUUUCACAGGCUCAUCAUUUGUACAAAUACAGAAGGUAAAACACUUCAUUACUUUGAUACACUUGAAACCCCAGUAAUGAAACAUAAUGUAUAUAAACUGGCCUUAUUUGUUACUUGUUUUCUACUUCUUAGAUGCGUAUAAUGUGCCUUCAGAAUGUAUUCAUACCCCUUGACUUAUUCCACACACUGUAUAUAGACUUUCUAUUGUGUUAUUGACUGUACGUUUGUUUAUUCCAUGUGUAACUCGGUGUUUUUGUCGCACUGCUUUGCUUUAUCUUGGCCAGGUCUCGGUUGUUGUAAAUGUGAACUUGUUCUCAACUGGCCUACCUGGUGAAAUAAAGGUGAAAUAAAAAAAUAAAAUGUUGUUGUGUUACAGCCUGAAUUUAAAAUUAAUAAAUUCAAAGCCAAUAUUAUUUUUUGCACACAAUAACCCAUAAUGAAUGUCAUUUACAUACAGUACCAGUCAUGUUUGGACACACCUACUCAUUCAAGGGAUUUUCUUUUCUUUUUACUAUUUUCUACAUUGUAGAAUAAUAGUGAAGACCUCAACUAUGAAAUAACACAUGUACAGUCGUGGCCAAAAGUUUUGAGAAUGACGCAAAUAUAUAUUUUCAGUCUGCUGCCUCCGUUUGUAUGAUGGCAAUUUGCAUAUACUCCAGAAAGUUAUGAAGAGUGAUCCAAUUAAUUGCAAAGUCCCUCUUUGCCAUGCAUAUGAACUGAAUCCCCCAAAACAUUUCCAUUGCAUUUCAGCCCUGCCACAAAAGGACCAGCUGACAUGUCAGUGAUUCUAUCGUUAACACAGGUGUGAGUAUUGACGAGGACCAGGCUGGAGAUCACUCUGUCAUGCUGAUUGAGUUUGAAUAACAGACUGGAAGCUUCAAAAGGAGGGUGGUGCUUGGAGUCAUUGUUCUUCCUCUGUCAACCAUGGUCAUCUGCAAGGAAACAUGUGCCGUCAUCAUUGCUUUGCACAAAAAGGGCUUCACAGGCAAGGAUAUUGCUGCCAGUAAGAUUGUACCUAAAUCAACCAUUUAUCGGAUCAUCAAGAACUUCAAGGAGAGCGGUUCAAUUGUUGUGUAGAAGGCUUCAGGGCGCCCAAGAAAGUCCAGCAAGCGCCAGGAACAUCUCCUAAAGUUGAUUCAGCUGCGGGAUCGGGGCACCACCAAUACAGAGCUUGCUCAGGAAUGUCAGCAGGUAGGUGUGAGUGCAUCUGCAUGCACAGUGAGGCGAAGACUUUUGGAGGAUGGCCCGGUGUCAAGAAGGUCAGCAAAGAAGCCACUUCUCUCCAGGAAAAACAUCAGGGACAGACUGAUAUUCUGCAAAAGGUACAGGGAUUGGACUGCUGAGGACUGGGGUAAAGUAAUUUUCUCUGAUGAAUCCUCUUUCCAAUUAUUUGGGGCAUCUGGGGGAAAAAAGCUUGUUCAGAGAAGACGAGGUGAGCGCUACCAUCAGUCCUGUGUCAUGCCAACAGUGAAGCUCCCUGAGACCAUUCAUGUGUGGGGUUGCUUCUCAGCCAAGGGAGUGGGCUCACUCACAAUUUUGCUUAAGAACACAGCCAUGAAUAAAGAACGGUACCAACACAUCCUCCGAGAGCAACUUCUCCCAAUCAUCCAGGAACAGUUUGGUGAGGAACAAUGCCUUUUCCAGCAUGAUGGAGCACCUUGCCAAAAGGCAAAAGAGAGAACUAAGUGGCUCGGCAAACAAAACAUUGAUAUUUUAGGUCCAUGGCCAGGAAACUCCCCAGACCUUAAUCCCAUUGAGAACUUGUGGUCAAUCCUCAAGAGGCGGGUGGACAAACAAAACCCCACAAAUUCUGACAAACUCCACGCAUUGAUUAUGCAAGAAUGGGCUGCCAUCAGUCAGGAUGUGGCCCAGAAGUUAAUUGACAGAAUGCCAGGGGGCGGAUUGCAGAGGUCUUGAAAAAGAAGGGUCAAAACUGCAAAUGUUGACUCUUUGCAUCAACUUCAUGUAAUUGUCAAUAAAAGCCUUUGACACUUAUAACAUGCAUGUAAUUAUACUUCAGUAUUCCAUAGUAACAUCUGACAAAUAUCUAAUGACACUGAGGCAGCAGACUUUGUGAAAAUGUAUAUUUGUCAUUCUCAACUUUUGGCCACGACUGUAGUAGCCAAAAAAGUGUUAAACAAAUCCAAAAUAUAUUUGCGAUUCUUUAAAGUAGUCACCCUUUGCCUUGAUGACAGCUUUGCACUCUCUUGGCAUUCCUACACAUUCCUGCAAUUUCUUGGCAUUCGUAACUUCUCCGUUAUGCAAUCCAGUUUCUGAGCUGGUCACGGGUGCACCUCGGCCACACUCAAGAUCCUAAACGAUAUCAUAACCGCCAUUGAUAAAAGACAGUACUGUGCAGCCGUCCUCAUCGACCUGGCCAAGGCUUUCGACUCUGUCAAUCACCGUAUUUUUAUCGGCAGACUCAACAGCCUUGGUUUCUCUAAUGACUGCCUCGCCUGGUUCACCAACUACUUCUCAGAUAGAGUUCAGUUUGUCAAAUCGGAGGGCCUGUUGUCCAGACCUCUGGCAGUCUCUAUGGGUGUACCACUGGGUUCAAUUCUCAGGCCGACUCUUUUCUCUGUAUACAUCAAUGAUUUCGCUCUUGCGAUUCUUUGGUCCACCUCUACGCAAAUAACACCAUUCUGUACACAUCUGGCCCUUCUUUGGACACUGUGUUAAUAAACCUCCAGACAAGCUUCAACGCCAUAACACUCCUUCCGUAGCCUCCAACUGCUCUUAAAUGCUAGUAAAACUAAAUGCAUGCUCUUCAACCGAUCGCUACCCGCCCGCCCGACUAGCAUCACUACUCUGGACGGUUCUGACUUAGAAUAUGUGGACAACUACAAAUUCCUCGGUGUCUGGCUAGAAUGUAAACUCUCCUUCCAGACUCACAUUAAGCAUCUCCAAUCCAAAAUGAAAUCUAGAAUUGGCUUCCUAUUUCGCAACAAAGCAUCCUUCACUCAUGCUGCCAAACAUACCCUCGUAAAACUGACUAUCCCACCGAUCCUUGACUUCGGCGAUGUCAUAUACAAAAUAGCAAAAACCACUGAAGUUGGAGACUUAUAUCUCCCUCACCUAACUUUAAGCGUCAGCUGUCAGAGCAGCUUACCGAUCGCUGCAGCUGUACACAGCCCAUCCAACUACCUACCUCAUCCCCAUUUUAGUUUUUCUGCUCUUUUGCACACUAAUAUUUCUACUUGCACAUCCUCAUCUGCACAUCUACCACUCCAGUGUAAAUUGCUAAAUUGUAACUAUUUCGCCACUAUUGGCCUAUUUAUUGCGUUACCUCCUUAAUUUGCAAACACUAUACAGAGUUUUAUAUUGUGUUAUUGACUGUAAGUUUGUUUAUCCCAUGUGUAACUUGGUGUUGUUUUUGUCGCGUUGCUCUGCUUUAUCUUGGCCAGGUCGCAGUUGUAAAGGAGAACUUGUUCUCAACUGGCCUACCUGGUUAAAUAAAGGUUUUUCUUUUUUUUAACAUUUCACAUCUCUCAACCUGCUUCACCUGGGAUGCUUUUCCAACAGUCUUGAAGGACAUAUGCUGAGCAGUUGUUGGCUGCCUUUCCUUCACUCUGGUUCCAAACCAUCACAGUUGGGUUGAGAUCGGGUGAUUGGAGUCCAGGUCAUCUGAUGCCGCGCUCCAUUACUCUCCUUGGUCAAAUUGCCCUUACACAGCCUGGAGGUGUGUUGGGUCAUUGUCCUGUUGAAAAAUAAAUGAUAGUCCCACUAAGCGCAAACCAGAUGGGAUGGCGUAUCGCUGCAGAAUGCUGUGGUAGCCAUGCUGGGUAAGUGUGCCUUGAAUUCUAAAUAAAUCACUGACUGUGUUACCAGCAAAGCAACAUCACACCACCACCUCCAUACUUCAUGGUGGGAACCACACAAGCGGAUAUCAUCCGUUCUCCAUCUCACAAAGACAUGGCGGUUGAAACAAAAAAUCAGACCAAAGAGCACAUUUCCACCUGUCUAAUUAAUGUCCAUUGCUCGUGUUUCUUGGCCCAAGCAAGUAUCUUCGUCUUAUUGGUGUGCUUUAUUAGUAGUUUCUUUGCAGCAAUUUGACCAUGUAGGCCUGAUUUUACAGUCUCCUCUGAACAGUUGAUGUUGAGAUGUGUCUGUUACUUGAACUUUGUGAAGCAUUUAUUUGGGCUGCAAUUUCUGAGGCUGGUAACUAAUGAAUUUAUCCUCUGCAGCAGAGGUAACUCUGGGUCUUCCUUUCUAGUGGCGGUCCUCAUGAGAGCCAGUUACAUCAUAGCACUUGAUGGUUUUUGUGACUGCACUUGAAGAAACUUACAAAGUUCUUAAUGUUCCGGAUUGACUGACCUUCAUGUCUUAAAGUAAUGAUGGACUGUCAUUUCUCUUUUCUUAUUUGAGCUGCUGUUGCCAUAAUAUGGACUUGGUCUUUUACUAAAUAGGUCUAUCUUCUGUAUUCCAAAUACAACUCUAUUUCUCUGUAAACAAAUUAACAGACUUACAGCAUGCUUAUAGAGGAGGGCACCCAACAUGUACUGCACUGGCACAAAUGACUGACUGAUUAAAAUAAAUUGAUAAGAAGAUUGUGGGAGAUGUACUGUUACAUUUCAGUGCAGCCUUUGACAUUAUUGACCAUAACCUGUUGUUGAAAAAACGUAUGUGUUAUGGCUUUUCAACCUCUGCGACAUCGUGGAUUCAGAGCUAUCUAAUAGAACUCAAAGAACUCAAAUUUUCUUUAAUGGAAACUUCUCUGUCAAACAUAUAAAGAAUGUCUUCCACAAUAACUGCCCUAAAUGUAUGAAAUAAGGAUUAAGAGUACUCAAUCUAGAGCCAAAUAUAUAUAUAUAUAUAAAAUAAAGUUACCAGAAUGCAACUGUAUACUUGAUAUUACUCAGCUAGAUAUAGCAUUGAAGCCACUUUGCAUUAGCUAACUCAAUUACUCAUCUUUUACAGAAACAUGACAAUUGUGAUAAAUAUUUAUCUUGUGUUAAUAAACAAAUGUACUUGCAGACAUUGCAUCAUACGAAAUUUAUAAAGAUGGAUUGUAACUACCCUCAUGCACAUCUUACGCAUUGCUUUACUUCUGAAACUGCUUCCUGUCACAUGACACAAACAGGUAAAUUCUAGCCUGCUGAACUUAAACUGCCACUAGGGGGUGCUAAAUAACUAACAUGUCCAGAACACCCACUGAGUCAAUGAUGGCUCCAAAAGCCUUUUGGAGUGGGUCUGUGGACUUUUCCAUGUGAUUAUUAAAGUCACCAAAAAUUAGAAUAUUAUCUGCCAUGACUACAAGGUCCAAUAGGAAUGCAGGGAACUUAGUGAGGAACGCUGUAUAUGGCCCAGAAGGCCUGUAACAGUAGCAAUAAAAAGUGAUUGAGUAGGCUUGGAUAGAUUUCAUGACUAGAAGUUCAAAAGACAAACGUAGUCAUUUUUUUGCGUAAAUUGAAAUUUGGCAUCGUAAAUGUUAGCAAUACAUCCGCCUUUGCGGGAUGCGCGGGGGAUAUGGUCACCAGUGUAAUCAGGAGGAGAGGCCUCAUUUAACACAGUAAAUUCAUCAGGCUUAAGCCAUAGUUCAGUUAGGCCAAUCACAUCAAGAUUAUGAUCAGUGAUUAGUUCAUUGACUAUAACUGCCUUGGAAGUGAGGGAUCUAACAUUAAGUAGCCCUAUUUUGAGAUGUGAGAUAUCACUAUCUCUUUCAAUAAUGACAGGAAUGGAGGAGGUCUUUAGUCCAGUGAGAUUGCUAAGGUGAACACCGCCAUAUUUAGUUUUGCCCAACCUAGAUCGAGGCACACACGGUCUCAGUGGGGAUAGCUGAGCUGACUAUACUGACUGUGCUAGUGGCAGUCUCCACUAAGCUGGCAGGCUGCACCCUAUCUCUAUUUGGCCUUGGGUUCUAAUUAACCUUUCAGCAGGACAAUCAUCUAAUCUCAGUGUCUGUUGGAAAGCAGACUGAACCAGGGUUUCCUCUAGGAUUUUGCCUGUGCUUAGCUCUAUUCCAUUUAUUUUUAUCCCCUAAAAAUCCCUAGUCCUUUCCAAUGACAAGCAUAUCCAAAACAUGAUGCGAGUGGUACUCAGUGAUGUGGUGUGUUCGAUUUGCCCCAAACAUAACACUUUGUAUUCAGGACAAAGUUAAUUAUUUUGCCGUUUUACUUUAGUGCCUUAUUGCAAACAGGGCGCAUGUUUUGGAAUAAUUUUAUUCCGCACAGGCUUCCUUCUUUUCACUUUGUCAGUUAGGUUAAUAUUGUGGAGUAACUACAAUGUUGUUGAUCUAUCCUCAAAGUUCUCCCAUCACGGCUAUUAAACUUGGUAACUGAUUUAAAGUCACCAUUGGCCUCAUGGUGAAAUCCCUGAGCUGUUUCUGUUCUCUCCAGCGACUUAGUUAGGAAGGACGCCUGUAUCAUUGUGACUUGUUGUAUCGAUACAACAUCCAAAGUGAAAUUAAUAACUUAACCAUGAUCAAAGGGACAUUCAAUGUCUGCUUUUUAAAUUUUUACCCAUCUACCACUAGGUGCCCUUCUUUGCGAGGCAUUGGAAAACCUCCCUGGUCUUUGUGGUUGAAUCUGUGUUUAAAAUGCACUGCUCGACUGAGGGACCUUACAAUUAUCUGUAUGUGUGGGGUAAAGAGAUGAGAGAGUCAUUCGAAGAUCAUUUUAAACACUAUUAUUGCCCACAGAGUGAGUCCAUACAACUUAUUAUGUGACUUGUUCAGCACAUUUUUACUCCUGAACUUAUUUAGGCUUGCCUUAACAAAGGGGUUGAAUACUUAUUGACUCAGGACAUUUCAGCUUUUCAUUUUUAAUUUGUUAAAAUGUCUCAACAUAAUUCCACUUUGACAUUAUAGGGUACUGUGUGUAGUCCAGUGACACAAAAUAUAAAUCUAACACAUGUUAAAUUCAGGCUGUAACGCAACAAUGUGUAAAAAGUCCAGGGGUGUGAAUACUUUCCGAAGGCACUGUAAUGGCCAGGUCAUAAUCUAGUCUGGAAGAACCUAGCCUGAUCCCUGUGUUCUCUAUUCUAUUUCACGUUACAUUUGAAGAUAUCUGAAAUUAAAUAGAAAGGUGAACACAUCGAUCAGGUUGGUUUCACCAGGCUAAUCAUAACCACCAUUGAUAAUGUAUGUGUGUGUGUGUGGCCAACC